ACAACUUUCAACAAUGGAUCUCUUGGCUCUGGCAUCGAUGAAGAACGCAGCGAAAUGCGAUAAGUAGUGUGAAUUGCAGAAUUCAGUGAAUCAUCGAAUCUUUGAACGCACAUUGCGCCCUUUGGCAUUCCAUCGGGCAUGCCUGUUCGAGCGUCAUUU
rnacentral:rRNA from 1 species